CAUGAUACAAGUGAAAAAUUGUAGAGCCUUGAUUUGGAUGUAUAUGAAUGUAUCUCUAUGAAUGUGUUUGCCUGUGUACCUUCUUUUGGAAACAGCGCAGUGAACUGCAAAACUGCUCCUUAGGAAGAGGUGAUCCGAAGAGAGUGCAGCCCAAACACGUAGGGAAAAGGGGCCCCCUUCCCAGAAUCGCCCAUGAAGCCCAAGGACCAAGGAUUGAGGGUCCAGCGUGGAGACAACGCAGCUGGAGCGAAACCAGCCAAUCAGCUGGGAC